UACAGAGGUCUCAAGCGUUGUUCGGAAUCACUGGGCGUAAAGGGCGCGUAGGCGGCCGAUCAAGUCGGGGGUGAAAGCCUGUGGCUCAACCACAGAAUUGCCUUCGAUACUGGUUGGCUUGAGUCCGGGAGAGGUGAGUGGAACUGCGAGUGUAGAGGUGAAAUUCGUAGAUAUUCGCAAGAACACCAGUGGCGAAGGCGGCUCACUGGCCCGGUACUGACGCUGAGGUGCGAAAGCGUGGGGAGCAAACAGG
rnacentral:rRNA from 1 species